GCCUAGUUAGCUUAGUUGGUAGCGCGUUUGUCUUGUAAGCGCUAGGCCGCGGGUUCGAUUCCCGCCCGGGGCG
rfam:Asian citrus Psyllid, Diaphorina citri - Florida Strain, whole genome shotgun sequence.